rnacentral:miRNA from 1 species
AUUAAUGUUGGAAAAAGAGUUCUAAUAUUUUUAUUAAAACAAGAAAAUCCUUAAUAAAAAUAUUAGAACUCUUUUUCCAACAUUAAU